GCCAAUUAAUAAAAGUAAUACGAAGAAGAACUAAUCAAUGGCUCUUCAGCUAAUAAGUAAUAAGUAGCCCACUACCAAUUAUGAAAUUCAUAAUAGGUAUUAAAUUAUAAGUAUUCGAUAAUGAAAGUUUUAAAAGCAGGGUUAUGUGUCGUAUAGCAAAAUGUGUGCACACAUCCAAAGUUGACCGGCUUCACUUGGCACUUAUAAUAUUUUUUUGGUAAAUCCAACUUUUGGCCUGUCUCUUUCAUCAUUUAAAAUAACUCUCACGGAGAAAAGCCAACAUUUUCUUCUUGUCUUUUUCAAUUAAAAAUUCCUCUAUUUUUUUUUUUUUUUUUUUUUUUGUCAUCAACAAACAGACUCAUAUAGACUCUGCGAACCAAACUGGUAACUCCGCAUCCAUGUGAACGACGAAAGACGAUUGUUUUCUGGCACAUCGUGCUAGACUAUCCGCCUUUUGAUUUUCCGUCCGGGGUACAUGAAUGAUUGUUGAGCUAGUAAAACAUGUCUUCAGUAGCUUUAUGUCGUGCAGGUAACUCUCAAACGCCGGCCAUUCCUCUGGUUCCGAAACUAUCUUCACCAAUUGAGAACAAUCCGUAGCAAAAGUAACCUGAAACUGAUGUAAAUUCCUCAUGCAUUCCAUUGCCCAUAUCAAAGCUUCCAUCUCUGCAUGAAGAGGUGAAAGACAUGCCCUAGUAUUCCUUGCACCCAUCAAUCCCUGAAAGCCCUCGAGUAUGCUAUACCAUCCUUGACCUGAAUAAGGUUCUUUAUCUUUCCAGGAAACAUCUAUAAAACACCAACGACCAACUCUCAGCUGCCGAUUCAAAACCUCAUUCUGUGGUGGAGCCUGCUUAGUCUUAAUCACCUGGGCCUCAGCCCAAAGUGUUGAUUCAGUUUCUGCAAGCGUAAGUGUAUCUUUUGGAUCAAUAUCCAAA
rnacentral:lncRNA from 1 species